GAUUAAAGUGCUAGCCUAGGGUGGUUUAUCAGGUGUUAAACAAGUGUAAGCCAAACAAUUAUUCAAGUUCAAUUAAGAGAAAGUCUAAAACUUGGAUCACUCAAAUAGAACAGUCCACUGUCGUGGUACUGCUCCAUAUGCUAAUCGAUUUUGAUACCUAAACUCUUGUUUGGAUCAAGACGCGACAUCAAGCAAUACAGAUCAAGUCCGAUAUGUUCACAAAACAUCAUAAUAUCUACUUUCGCUGAUUAUGGAUGCAAUGCUCAUUCAUAACAGAUCUAGCAAACUAUUAUACUAUUAAUGAACAGGUUAAACCUAUGAUCUAACAUUAAACGGCCAGUUUAAUACAAGCAUUAAGAACAGUUAUGAAUGAAGACAAUCAAUGGUUUCACU
rnacentral:lncRNA from 1 species